AUGAACGCUGGCGGCGUGCCUAAUACAUGCAAGUCGCGCGAACAGACGAGGAGCUUGCUCCUCUGACGUUAGCGGCGGACGGGUGAGUAACACGUGGAUAACCUACCUAUAAGACUGGGAUAACUUCGGGAAACCGGAGCUAAUACCGGAUAAUAUAUUGAACCGCAUGGUUCAAUAGUGAAAGACGGUUUUGCUGUCACUUAUAGAUGGAUCCGCGCCGCAUUAGCUAGUUGGUAAGGUAACGGCUUACCAAGGCAACGAUGCGUAGCCGACCUGAGAGGGUGAUCGGCCACACUGGAACUGAGACACGGUCCAGACUCCUACGGGAGGCAGCAGUAGGGAAUCUUCCGCAAUGGGCGACAGCCUGACGGAGCAACGCCGCGUGAGUGAUGAAGGUCUUCGGAUCGUAAAACUCUGUUAUUAGGGAAGAACAAAUGUGUAAGUAACUAUGCACGUCUUGACGGUACCUAAUCAGAAAGCCACGGCUAACUACGUG
rnacentral:rRNA from 1 species